rnacentral:rRNA from 1 species
GGACCCGCACAAGUAGUGGAGCAUGUGGUUUAAUUCGAAGAUACGCGCAGAACCUUACCAACACUUGACAUGUUCGUCGCGACUUUAAGAGAUUAAAGUUUUCGGUUCGGCCGGACGAAACACAGGUGCUGCAUGGCUGUCGUCAGCUCGUGUCGUGAGAUGUUGGUUAAGUCCCGCAACGAGCGCAACCCUCACUUUUAGUUGCCAUCAUUAAGUUGGGCACUCUGAAAGAACUGCCAGUGAUAAGCUGGAGGAAGGUGGGGAUGACGUCAAGUCCUCAUGGCCCUUACGUGUUGGGCUACACACGUGCUACAAUGGGAAGGACAAAGAAGCCGCGGAAGCCGCAGAGGUGUAGCU